AUUGAACGCUGGCGGCAGGCCUAACACAUGCAAGUCGAGCGAGCGGCGGACGGGUGAGUAAUGUCUGGGAAACUGCCUGAUGGAGGGGGAUAACUACUGGAAACGGUAGCUAAUACCGCAUACCAUCAGAGGUGCCCAGAUGGGAUUAGCUGGUAGGUGGGGUAACGGCUUACCUAGUCGACGAUCCCUAUCUGGUCUGAGAGGAUGACCAGCCAACCUGGAACUGAUGCAAGGUCCAGACUCCUAAGGGGGGCAGCAGUGGGGAAUAUUGCACAAGUGGCGCAAGCCUGAUGCAGCCAUGCCGCGUGUGUGGAGAAGGCCUUCGGGUUGUAAAGCACUUUCCGCGGGGAGGCGGUACCCGCAGAAGAAGCACCGGCUAACUCCGUGCCAGCAGCCGCGGUAAUAC
rnacentral:rRNA from 1 species